AACGGGGGUGCGUGCUCCCAGUCGUGCGCCGCUCCGCUCAAGCCGGCUCGCUCUUCUCUCUGCCCCGGUUGCCUCCCCGCUCUGCCUGCCUGGAGAGCCGGGACGGCCGGGACUACCUCCCCUCGGUUUGCGAGUAGCAUCGCCCAUGGUCCUAGAGGUGGACAUUUUCGUAUGGCUUUUACUCUGUUUGUACUUGAUUUUGCUGUACUUUGCGUUUUUCCGUUGUAUCAUUUGUACUAUGUUGAUUGUCGUAAACGACCAAUUUGAAAUGUAUCGCGUGAUUAUUUGCUAGUUUGAAUAUUCGAUGGCUCAUUGUUCGUUGGCGUAUUGUUAGAAGGCAAUUUCUGCAAUACUUCUCAGUACUCGUUUGCUGUGUGACGUGCCACCCGGCUCUAUGCCCGGCCAUAAUUCUGGAUCAUUCGCGCUGAUGGCGGCAGAGGCGGUCGUGUCGUGUCUGUGUUUGCGCGAGCGAUGAUAUGGCGUCGGAGAUGUGAGGCUGGCUUGGAAGGAUGCCUCUGGAUGUAUGGACGUUAGCCGCGAAGCGACCCAGAAGGCACAUUUGUCGCAACGACUGUUACUCUCGAGAUCGUGUGGGCUAUCCACUCAGCUCACUCGGUCCAAUAAACGGUCCGUUAAGA